GGAAAGAGCCCAAACCGGAAACUUGUUUCCGGGGUUGUGGACAUAGCAUAGAAGUGGAGGCUAUUGUAACUGAAGAGAACUGGAAAGUUCCACCGUAGAAGGUAAUAGUCCUGUAAGUGAAACGAGAAGACCACGAGUUAUGAUCCAGAGUACCACGAGACACGUGAAACCUUGUGGGAAGCAGGGAGGACCACCUCCCAAGGCUAAAUACUACCUGAUGACCGAUAGUGAAGCAGUACCGUGAGGGAAAGGUGAAAAGAACCCCGGGAGGGGAGUGAAAUAGAACCUGAAACCGUGUGCCUACAACCGCUCAGAGCCCCUUAUGAGGGUGAUGAGGUGCUUUUUGUAGAACGAGCCAACGAGUUACGGUAUGUAGCAAGGUUAAGUACUUAAGGUACGGAGCCGAAGGGAAACCGAGUCUGAAUAGGGCGACUAGUUGCAUGCCGUAGACCCGAAACCGGGUGACCUAUCCAUGGCCAGGUUGAAGCGAGGGUAAAACCUCGUGGAGGACCGAACCACGUUGCUGUUGAAAAAGCAUGGGAUGAGCUGUGGAUAGCGGAGAAAUUCCAAUCGAACCCGGAGAUAGCUGGUUCUCUCCGAAAUAGCUUUAGGGCUAGCGUCGAGUAUGAGUAGUGGAGGUAGAGCACUGAAUGGGCUAGGGGGCAUAGCGCUUACCGAACCUUAUCAAACUCCGAAUGCCACAUACUUUGAGCUCGGCAGUCAGACUACGAAUGAUAAGAUCCGUGGUCAAAAGGGAAACAGCCCAGAUCGUCAGCUAAGGUCCCAAAGUGUAAGUUAAGUGGGAAAGGAUGUGAGAUUUCUAAGACAACUAGGAUGUUGGCUUAGAAGCAGCCAUUCAUUAAAAGAGUGCGUAAUAGCUCACUAGUCGAGAGAUCUUGCGCCGAAAAUGUAACGGGGCUAAACUUACCACCGAA
rnacentral:rRNA from 1 species